AGUGAACGCUGGCGGUAGGCCUAACACAUGCGAGUCGAACGGCAGCACAGUAAGAGCUUGCUCUUACGGGUGGCGAGUGGCGGACGGGUGAGGAAUACAUCGGAAUCUACUUUUUCGUGGGGGAUAACGUAGGGAAACUUACGCUAAUACCGCAUACGACCUACGGGUGAAAGCAGGGGAUCUUCGGACCUUGCGCGAUUGAAUGAGCCGAUGUCGGAUUAGCUAGUUGGCGGGGUAAAGGCCCACCAAGGCGACGAUCCGUAGCUGGUCUGAGAGGAUGAUCAGCCACACUGGAACUGAGACACGGUCCAGACUCCUACGGGAGGCAGCAGUGGGGAAUAUUGGACAAUGGGCGCAAGCCUGAUCCAGCCAUACCGCGUGGGUAAAGAAGGCCUUCGGGUUGUAAAGCCCUUUUGUUGGGAAAGAAAAGCAGCAGGUUAAUACCCCGCUGUUCUGACGGUACCCAAAGAAUAAGCACCGGCUAACUUCGUG
rnacentral:rRNA from 1 species